AUGCGCCGUCUCCUGCCGACGCUCGCCGUCCACCUGCCGCCAUGCCCCACGCCCGCGGCUACUCCACCCGCCACCGCCGCCGGCGUCAACGUCGAGACGGUGCUCCACCACAUCGAACGUGCCAUCUCCGUGGGCGACGUCCGCCGCCUCGGCCGUGCCGCGCACGCGCUCCUCGUAAAGACGGCGCUCAACCAUCACACCCUCCUCUCCAACCGUCUCGUCGAGCUCUACGCCACGCUAAACUCCCCGGCGGCCUCCCGCGCAGCCUUCGAAGACCUCCCGUACAGGAAUGCCCAUUCCUACAACAACCUCCUGGCCGCGCUUUCACGCGGCCCCGCCACCCUCCCCGACGCCCUCCACCUGCUUGACGCAAUGCCUGCCUCCUCUCGCAACGUUGUAUCCUACAACACCGUCAUCUCGGCCCUAGCGCGGCACGGCCGGCAGAGGGAAGCACUCUGUGUGUUCGCCCGGUUGGCCAGGGACAGGUGCCUGGGGCCGGAGGUGGCCGUCGACCGUUUUGCAGUGGUCAGCGUGGCGAGCGCUUGCGCUGGGAUGGGAGCCGUGAGGCCACUCCGAGAGAUGCAUGGCGCGGUAGUGGUGUCCGGGGUGGAGGUGACGGUCAUUAUGGCCAAUGCAAUGGUGGAUGCCUACAGCAAGGCCGGGAGGGUGGAGGACGCCAGGACGUUGUUCAACCAGAUGAGCAUCCGGGACACUGUCUCUUGGACAUCGAUGAUUGCAGGGUACUGCCGUGCGAAGAGGAUCGAUGAGGCAGUCCGGGUAUUUCACAUGAUGCCGGAGCAGGACACAAUUGCAUGGACGGCACUCAUCUCUGGGCACGAGCAGAAUGGUGAGGAGGAUGCCGCUCUGGAACUUUUUCGACAGAUGCUGGUUCAGGGGAUGGCACCAACACCGUUUGCUUUGGUGUCGUCUCUUGGUGCAUGCGCCAAGCUCGGGCUUGUUAUUCGAGGGAAGGAAGUGCAUGGUUUCAUGUUGCGCCGCUGCAUCGGUUCAGACCCUUUCAACAUUUUCAUCCACAAUGCCCUCAUUGACAUGUACUCCAAGUGCGGUGACAUGGCGACUGCCAUGUUAGUGUUUGCACGGAUGCCUGAACGGGACUUCAUCUCCUGGAACUCCAUGGUGACAGGGUUCUCGCACAAUGGCCAGGGGAAGCAGUCACUUGCUGUGUUCAAAAGGAUGCUUGAAGCUGAAGUGCAGCCAACCUAUGUUACUUUUCUUGCUGUCCUAACGGCUUGCAGUCAUGCCGGUCUAGUCUCUGAUGGCCGUCAGAUUCUUGAAUCAAUGAAGUACCAUGGUGUUGAACCAAGGGCGGAACACUAUGCCUCCUUCAUAGAUGCUCUUGGUCGGAACCAUCAACUGGAAGAAGCAAGCGAGUUCAUCAAAGGUUUGUCAUCCAGGAUUGGUCCAGGUACAACUGGGUCGUGGGGGGCGCUUCUUGGCGCAUGCCGUGUUCACGGCAAUAUUGAGAUUGCAGAGGAAGUGGCGGAGUCCCUUUUCCAGUUGGAGCCUGGAAACAGCGGUCGGUAUGUCAUGUUGUCAAACAUUUACGCAGCGGCAGGUCAGUGGGAUGAUGCCCGCCGUAUCAGGGGGAUUAUGAAGGAGAAGGGUUUGAAGAAGGACCAAGCUUGCAGUUGGAUCGAGGUGCAGAAUGCGAAGCACAUGUUUGUUGCUGAUGACACGUCUCACUGUGAGGCAAAUGAGAUAUAUGGGACGCUGGACAAACUUUUUGAUCAUAUGCGUGUUGUAGUGGAUCCUGUUGAAGACCAGCUUGCGCUGUGCUGA
rnacentral:rRNA from 1 species